ACUGAAUGGGCUAGGGCAUACACCAAUGUACCAAACCCUAUCAAACUCCGAAUACCUAGUGUGUAAUCAUGGCAGUCAGGCGGCGAGUGAUAAAAUCCGUCGUCGAGAGGGGAACAACCCAGACUAACAGCUAAGGUCCCUAAAUCUCAUUUAAGUGGAAAACGAUGUGGAGUUACUUAAACAACCAGGAGGUUGGCUUAGAAGCAGCCAUCCUUUAAAGAAAGCGUAAUAGCUCACUGGUCUAGUGAUUCUGCGCGGAAAAUAUAACGGGGCUAAAAUGAGUACCGAAGCUUUAGACUUAGUUUUACUAAGUGGUAGGAGAGCGUUGCAUUCAGCGUCGAAGGUGUACCGGUAAGGAGCGCUGGAGCGAAUGCAAGUGAGCAUGCAGGCAUGAGUAGCGAUAAUUGGGGUGAGAAUCCCCAACGCCGUAAACCCAAGGUUUCCUACGCGAUGCUCGUCAUCGUAGGGUUAGCCGGGUCCUAAGCAAAGUCCGAAAGGGGUAUGCGAUGGAAAAUUGGUUAAUAUUCCAAUGCCAACUAUAAUGUGCGAUGGAAGGACGCUUAGAGUUAAGCAAGCUAGCGGAUGGUAGUGCUAGUCGAAAGGUGUAGGUUAAGAUCCAGGCAAAUCCGGAUCUUUUUAAGCCGAGACCCCACAGGCGUUUGAAGUUCUUCGGAAUGGAUAGCGAAUUGCUGAUACUGUCGAGCCAAGAAAAGUUUCUAAGUUUAGUUAUAGUUGCCCGUACCGUAAACCGACACAGGUGGGUGGGAUGAGUAUUCUAAGGCGCGUGGAAGAACUCUCUUCAAGGAACUCUGCAAAAUAGCACCGUAUCUUCGGUAUAAGGUGUGCCUAACUUUGUGAAGGAUUUACUCCGUAAGCAUUGAAGGUUACAACAAAGAGUCCCUCCCGACUGUUUACCAAAAACACAGCACUCUGCUAACUCGUAAGAGGAUGUAUAGGGUGUGACGCCUGCCCGGUGCUCGAAGGUUAAUUGAUGAUGUUAGCUUAUGCAAAGCAUCUGAUCGAAGCCCGAGUAAACGGCGGCCGUAACUAUAACGGUCCUAAGGUAGCGAAAUUCCUUGUCGGUUAAAUACCGACCUGCAUGAAUGGCGUAACGAGAUGGGAGCUGUCUCAAAGAGGGAUCCAGUGAAAUUGUAGUGGAGGUGAAAAUUCCUCCUACCCGCGGCAAGACGGAAAGACCCCGUGGACCUUUACUACAGCUUGACACUGCUAUUGGGAUAAAAAUGUGCAGGAUAGGUGGGAGGCUUUGAUCCAUAGACGCCAGUUUAUGGUGAGCCGUUGUUGAGAUACCACUCUUUUUUAUUCUGAUAGCUAACUAGCUUGAGUUAUCCUCAAGUAGGACAAUGUCUGGUGGGUAGUUUGACUGGGGCGGUCGCCUCCCAAAAUGUAACGGAGGCUUACAAAGGUUGGCUCAAAGCGGUUGGAAAUCGCUUGCAGAGUAUAAAGGCAAAAGCCAGCUUAACUGCGAGACAUACACGUCUAGCAGAGACGAAAGUCGGUCUUAGUGAUCCGGUGGUUCUGUGUGGAAGGGCCAUCGCUCAAAGGAUAAAAGGUACCCCGGGGAUAACAGGCUGAUCUCCCCCAAGAGCUCACAUCGACGGGGAGGUUUGGCACCUCGAUGUCGGCUCAUCGCAUCCUGGGGCUGGAGCAGGUCCCAAGGGUUGGGCUGUUCGCCCAUUAAAGCGGUACGCGAGCUGGGUUCAGAACGUCGUGAGACAGUUCGGUCCCUAUCUGCCGUGGGCGUAAGAAGAUUGAGGAGAGUUGACCCUAGUACGAGAGGACCGGGUUGAACCGACCACUGGUGUACCGGUUGUUCUGCCAAGAGCACCGCCGGGUAGCUAAGUCGGGAUGCGAUAAGAGCUGAAAGCAUCUAAGCUCGAAGCCGACUCCAAGAUGAAUCUUCUUUUAAGAGCUCUAGUAGACUACUAGUUUGAUAGGCCGGAUGUGUAAUGGAUGAAAGUCCUUUAGCUGACCGGUACUAAUAGCUCGUUUGCUUAUCUUUU
rnacentral:rRNA from 1 species